AGCGCAGGCGGGACUGCAAGUUGGAUGUGAAAUACCGUGGCUUAACCACGGAACUGCAUCCAAAACUGUAGUUUUUGAGUGAAGUAGAGGCAAGCGGAAUUCCGAGUGUAGCGGUGAAAUGCGUAGAUAUUCGGAGGAACACCAGUGGCGAAGGCGGCUUGCUGGGCUUUAACUGACGCUGAGGCUCGAAAGUGUGGGGAGCAAACA
rnacentral:rRNA from 1 species